rnacentral:rRNA from 1 species
AGUGAACGCUGGCGGUAGGCCUAACACAUGCAAGUCGAACGGCAGCACAGUAAGAGCUUGCUCUUACGGGUGGCGAGUGGCGGACGGGUGAGGAAUACAUCGGAAUCUACUUUUUCGUGGGGGAUAACGUAGGGAAACUUACGCUAAUACCGCAUACGACCUACGGGUGAAAGCAGGGGAUCUUCGGACCUUGCGCGAUUGAAUGAGCCGAUGUCGGAUUAGCUAGUUGGCGGGGUAAAGGCCCACCAAGGCGACGAUCCGUAGCUGGUCUGAGAGGAUGAUCAGCCACACUGGAACUGGGACACGGUCCAGACUCCUACGGGAGGCAGCAGUGGGGAAUAUUGGACAAUGGGCGCAAGCCUGAUCCAGCCAUACCGCGUGGGUGAAGAAGGCCUUCGGGUUGUAAAGCCCUUUUGUUGGGAAAGAAAAGCAGCAGGUUAAUACCCCGCUGUUCUGACGGUACCCAAAGAAUAAGCAACGGCUAACUUCGUG